CCACAGAAGAAUCCAGAGAUGGAUUUGUGCCUUCGGGAACUGUGAGACAGGUGCUGCAUGGCUGUCGUCAGCUCGUGUUGUGAAAUGUUGGGUUAAGUCCCGCAACGAGCGCAACCCUUAUCCUUUGUUGCCAGCGGUCCGGCCGGGAACUCAAAGGAGACUGCCAGUGAUAAACUGGAGGAAGGUGGGGAUGACGUCAAGUCAUCAUGGCCCUUACGACCAGGGCUACACACGUGCUACAAUGGCGCAUACAAAGAGAAGCGACCUCGCGAGAGCAAGCGGACCUCAUAAAGUGCGUCGUAGUCCGGAUUGGAGUCUGCAACUCGACUCCAUGAAGUCGGAAUCGCUAGUAAUCGUGGAUCAGAAUGCCACGGUGAAUACGUUCCCGGGCCUUGUACACACCGCCCGUCACACCAUGGGAGUGGGUUGCAAAAGAAGUAGGUAGCUUAACCUUCGGGAGGGCGCUUACCACUUUGUGAUUCAUGACUGGGGUGAAGUCGUAACAAGGUAACCGUAGGGGAACCUGC
rnacentral:rRNA from 1 species